rnacentral:tRNA from 1 species
GGGGUUGUGGCUCAGUGGUAGAGCAUCCCCCUACCAUGGGUGAGGCUCUGGGUUUGAUCCCUCCCAGCACCA